UGGGAAAUUUUCCGCAAUGGGCGAAAGCCUGACGGAGCAAUGCCGCGUGGAGGUGGAAGGCCUACGGGUCGUCAACUUCUUUUCUCGGAGAAGAAACAAUGACGGUAUCUGAGGAAUAAGCAUCGGCUAACUCUGUGACAG
rnacentral:rRNA from 1 species